rnacentral:tRNA from 1 species
GGGAAUGUGGCCCAGUGGUAGAGUGCAUGCCUAGCAUGCAUGAGGCCCUGGGUUCGAUUCCUCAGCACCA